rnacentral:rRNA from 2 species
CUGACGGAACACGCCGCGUGAGUGAUGAAGGCUUUCAGGUCGUAAAACUCUGUUGUUCGGGAAGAACAAGUACAAGAGUAACUGCUUGUACCUUGACGGUACCUAACCAGAAAGCCACGGCUAACUACGUGCCAGCAGCCGCGGUAAUACGUAGGUGGCAAGCGUUAUCCGGAAUUAUUGGGCGUAAAGCGCGCGCAGGCGGUUUCUUAAGUCUGAUGUGAAAGCCCACGGCUCAACCGUGGAGGGUCAUUGGAAACUGGGGAACUUGAGUGCAGAAGAGAAAAGCGGAAUUCCACGUGUAGCGGUGAAAUGCGUAGAGAUGUGGAGGAACACCAGUGGCGAAGGCGGCUUUUUGGUCUGUAACUGACGCUGAGGCGCGAAAGCGUGGGGAGCAAACAGGAUUAGAUACCCUGGUAGUCCACGCCGUAAACGAUGAGUGCUAAGUGUUAGAGGGUUUCCGCCCUUUAGUGCUGCAGCUAACGCAUUAAGCACUCCGCCUGGGGAGUACGUUCGCAAAGCUCC